rnacentral:rRNA from 1 species
GUCUACGGCCAUACCACCCUGAACGCGCCCGAUCUCGUCUGAUCUCGGAAGCUAAGCAGGGUCGGGCCUGGUUAGUACUUGGAUGGGAAAAAAAGAAACAUCAUGAAAUAGUUGACC